AGGGUUCACAAUAUUGUGUGGAUAGCAGACACUGACAAAUAAAUGAAAAAGGAGUUGGGCUGGGAGCACAUUCUGGAAAUCUAGAAGAUAACAUCCUUAUCUGAAACUCACACUGACAUUUGCACGAGAGAGACGCUUUGUGGCAGCUGAUGACAAAAGCUCAUUAAGAUGACAAAACCAUGAUUCUCUUUGCACUGCUGAUGUUCCAUGAACAUCAGAGGUUACGUUAGCUAUAGAAGCGUCAUGGAAAUCUCUGAACAGUGCUAAGGACUCCCGGACUCUCUAUCCUACAAAUCACUUGUUGUAACACAGCCAGGUCACCAGUAAAUACUUCCCAUUCCCAUGAUUCAAGGUUCAAGAUUUUCAACACAUUUAAAACCAGGAGCAUUGGUAUCCUUUAAUCUUACAAAUCUUUAAAGACA
rnacentral:lncRNA from 1 species